rnacentral:rRNA from 1 species
CCAAUAGCGUAUAUUAAAGUUGUUGCAGUUAAAAAGCUCGUAGUUGAAUUUCGGGAUUAAUUUACUGGUCGUGCUAUUGUACGUACUGGUUUUAUUGAUUCCUCCCUUCUGACGAACUAUGAUGUCAUUAAUUUGGUGUCAUAGGAAAUCAGGACUGUUACUUUGAAAAAAUUAGAGUGUUUAAAGCAGGCUCACGCUUGAAUACAUUAGCAUGGAAUAACGGAAUAGGACGUUUGAUUCUAUUUUGUUGGUUUCUAGGAUCGACGUAAUGAUUAAUAGUGAUAGUUGGGGGCAUUAGUAUUCAAUUGUCAGAGGUGAAAUUCUUGGAUUUAUUGAAGACUAACUACUGCGAAAGCAUUUGCCAAGGAUGUUUUCAUUAAUCAAGAACGAAAGUUAGGGGAUCGAAGACGAUCAGAUACCGUCGUAGUCUUAACCAUAAACUAUGCCGACUAGGGAUCGGAUGAUGUUAAUUUUUUAAUGACUCAUUCGGCGCCUUACG